CCUACGGGGCGCAGCAGUGGGGAAUAUUGGACAAUGGGCGAAAGCCUGAUCCAGCCAUGCCGCGUGUGUGAAGAAGGCCUUCGGGUUGUAAAGCACUUUCAGUGGGGAAGAAAGCCUUGGGGCUAAUACCCUCGAGGAAGGACAUCACCCACAGAAGAAGCACCGGCUAACUCCGUGCCAGCAGCCGCGGUAAUACGGAGGGUGCGAGCGUUAAUCGGAAUUACUGGGCGUAAAGCGCGCGUAGGCGGUCUGAUAAGCCGGUUGUGAAAGCCCCGGGCUCAACCUGGGAACGGCAUCCGGAACUGUCAGGCUAGAGUGCAGGAGAGGAAGGUAGAAUUCCCGGUGUAGCGGUGAAAUGCGUAGAGAUCGGGAGGAAUACCAGUGGCGAAGGCGGUCUUCUGGACUGACACUGACGCUGAGGUGCGAAAGCGUGGGUAGCAAACAGGAUUAGAUACCCCAGUAGUC
rnacentral:rRNA from 1 species